rnacentral:rRNA from 1 species
CCUACGGGAGGCAGCAGUGGGGAAUAUUGCACAAUGGGGGAAACCCUGAUGCAGCGACGCCGCGUGAGGGAAGAAGUAUUUAGGUACGUAAAGCUCUAUCAGCAGGGAAGAAAAUGACGGGACCUGACUAAGAAGCACCGGCUAAAUACGUGCCAGCACCGGCGGUAAUACGUAGGGGGCAAGCGUUAUCCGGAUUUACUGGGUGUAAAGGGAGCGUAGGCGGAAGCGCAAGUCUGAAGUGAAAUCCCAUGGCUUAACCAUGGAACUGCUUUUGAAACUGCGCAGCUGGAGUGCAGGAGAGGUAAGCGGAAUUCCUGGUGUAGCGGUGAAAUGCGUAGAUAUUAGGAGGAACACCAGUGGCGAAGGCGGCUUACUGGACUGUAACUGACGUUGAGGCUCGAAAGCGUGGGGAGCAAACAGGAUUAGAUACCCGGGUAGUC